UAGUCCACGCCGUAAACGAUGUCAACUAGCCGUUGGGUCCAUUUAAGGGCUUAGUGGCGCAGCUAACGCGAUAAGUUGACCGCCUGGGGAGUACGCCGGCAACGGUAAAACUCAAAUGAAUUGACGGGGGCCCGCACAAGCGGUGGAGCAUGUGGUUUAAUUCGAUGCAACGCGAAAAACCUUACCUACCCUUGACAUCCUCAGAACUUGUUAGAGAUAACUUGGUGCCUUCGGGAACCGAGUGACAGGUGCUGCAUGGCUGUCGUCAGCUCGUGUCGUGAGAUGUUGGGUUAAGUCCCGCAACGAGCGCAACCCUUGUCCCUAGUUGCCAGCACAUAAUGGUGGGAACUCUAGGGAGACUGCCGGUGACAAACCGGAGGAAGGUGAGGAUGACGUCAAGUCAGCAUGCCCCUUACGUUCUGGGCUACACACGUGCUACAAUGGGUAUGACAACGAGUUGCUAAAUUGUGAAGUCAAGCUAAUCUUUAAACAUUACUCUCAGUUCGGAUUGUAGG
rnacentral:rRNA from 1 species